rnacentral:rRNA from 1 species
GACGAACGCUGGCGGCGUGCUUAACACAUGCAAGUCGAACGGAAAGGCCCUGCUUGUGUGGGGUGCUCGAGUGGCGAACGGGUGAGUAACACGUGAGUAACCUGCCCUUGACUUUGGGAUAACUUCAGGAAACUGUGGCUAAUACCGGAUAGGAGCUCCUGCUGCAUGGUGGGGGUUGGAAAGUUUCGGCGGUUGGGUAUGGACUCGCGGCUUAUCAGGUUGUUGGUGGGGUAGUGGCUUACCCAGGCUUUGCGGGGUAGCCGGCCUGAGAGGGUGACCGGCCACCUUCGGACUGAGUUACGGACCAGCCUCCUACGGGAGGCAGCCGUGGGGAAGAUUGCACGAUGGGCGGAAGCCUGCUGCAGCAACGCCGCGUGCGGGAUGACGGCAUUCGGGUUGUAAACAGAUUUCGCCUGUGACGAACCGUAAGUGACGGUACUGAAUAAAGAAGCUCCGGCUAACUACGUG